rnacentral:rRNA from 1 species
CCGUAGGUGAACCUGCGGAGGGAUCAUUACCGAGUUUACAACUCCCAAACCCCUGUGAACAUACCACUUGUUGCCUCGGCGGAUCAGCCCGCUCCCGGUAAAACGGGACGGCCCGCCAGAGGACCCCUAAACUCUGUUUCUAUAUGUAACUUCUGAGUAAAACCAUAAAUAAAUCAAAACUUUCAACAACGGAUCUCUUGGUUCUGGCAUCGAUGAAGAACGCAGCAAAAUGCGAUAAGUAAUGUGAAUUGCAGAAUUCAGUGAAUCAUCGAAUCUUUGAACGCACAUUGCGCCCGCCAGUAUUCUGGCGGGCAUGCCUGUUCGAGCGUCAUUUCAACCCUCAAGCCCUCGGGUUUGGUGUUGGGGAUCGGCGAGCCCUUUGCGGCAAGCCGGCCCCGAAAUACAGUGGCGGUCUCGCUGCAGCUUCCAUUGCGUAGUAGUAAAACCCUCGCAACUGGUACGCGGCGCGGCCAAGCCGUUAAACCCCCAACUUCUGAAUGUGGACCUCGGAUCAGGUAGGAAUACCCGCUGAACUUAAGCAUAUCAAUAAG